GUUUUCAAAGAGAGGCGUUGGGGUUGUACUGUGUGUGUGCAAGUGUGUGCCCUCACCUUCAUAGGUGGAGGACAGAGGAAUCUGGGAAACUUGCAGCCACAUGCAAGCAGGAGAGGCGUCCUUGCCACCCACCGGGUCUCAUCCUUCAAAAGGGCAGUGUUGCUGAGAACCUAACAGAACUUGUGUUUUCAUCUCUCUCUCCAGGUUUCCAUUCUAUUAUGAACUAAAAAUAGCAUUUGUAGCCUGGCUGCUGUCUCCCUACACAAAAGGCUCCAGCCUCCUGUACAGGAAGUUUGUACAUCCCACGCUAUCUUCAAAAGAAAAGGAAAUCGAUGAUUGUCUGGUCCAAGCAAAAGACCGAAGUUACGAUGCCCUUGUGCACUUCGGGAAGCGGGGCUUGAACGUGGCCGCCACAGCGGCUGUGAUGGCUGCUUCCAAGGGACAGGGUGCCUUAUCGGAGAGACUGCGGAGCUUCAGCAUGCAGGACCUCACCACCAUCAGGGGAGACGGCGCCCCUGCUCCCUCGGGCCCCCCACCACCGGGGUCUGGGCGGGCCAGCGGCAAAC
rnacentral:lncRNA from 1 species